GAUGAACGCUGGCGGCGUGCGUAACACAUGCAAGUCGAACGUGAAAGUCUGCUUCGGUAGACAAGUAAAGUGGCAAACGGGUGAGUAACACGUGGGUAAUCUGCCCUUCAGUGGGGAAUAACCUUGCGAAAGCGGGGCUAAUACCGCAUAAUAAGUCGCUAUUAAUUAGAUGACUUUAAAGUCUUCGGACGCUGAAGGAGGAGCCCGCGGCCCAUUAGCUAGUUGGUGGGGUAACGGCCUACCAAGGCGAUGAUGGGUAGCCGGCCUGAGAGGGUGUCCGGCCACACUGGGACUGAGACACGGCCCAGACUCCUACGGGAGGCAG
rnacentral:rRNA from 1 species